GCGAGGAGACGCGCGAGGAGACGCGCGAGGAGACGCGCGAGGAGACGCGCGAGGAGACGCGCGAGGAGACGCGCGAGGAGACGCGCGAGGAGACGCGCGAGGAGACGCGGCUAGGGGGCUGCCAGAACACAAAGGGAAAACAGCGACUUCUGGAUUGUCGCGUCCCGCAAGAGUUUGGCCCCUGCCCAAGACCCAGAAAGUUACUUCCCAGCCCAGAAUCUCCGCGGUGAGGACACGAAUCUGCAUUUCACCAGAAGGAAGGAUUUACGACUUGCAGCAAGGAGAACAUUGGGGAUCUUUCUCAAAGCGACAUCUCCCUGAACACCAAAAAUGGGCGUACAGCCACUGGGUAAAUUGAAGGAAGUGUCUUGCCAAGACAUUUGUUUACCUGUUCAGAACAUCACAUCACUGUUGUCCGGAAUGGCUAAGGUGUCCAAGAUGCCUGCAGACCAGCACACGUUCCUGCAUCUGCUGAGUGGUGCCCAUGUCCCCCGUUACACUCACAGAGGAGCCAUCAUCCUACUCCUUCAUUCUGCCUCCUGGGUCUGCCUUUCUUAGUGCUCUUUACCAAGAUCUGAGCAAGCCUCAGCUUGCCCAUGCUCUCCGCCUCCCCCCCUCCCUGACACAGGACCCGCGCAGGGCUGCUUUAGAAGAUGCUCCGUGAGCACAGACAAGCCUGUGACCAGCUUUGCAGAUGGUAUUAAGAAACAGGCACCUGUGUCUCCCUGUUGAAAAGCCAGGCCCUUCUGGAACUACGUUGCUGCUAAUGUAACCAAGAAGCUAGAGGCAGCGGGACCCAAUCCUUCACCCAGCGCACCAGCCAAGGGCCUCUCUCGCAUUCUAGCUGUGUGCUCAAAAAGAGAAACACAGAUCACCAAUAAAGGCAAGAAAAAUGUCCAACCACUCUUAAGUUUUGCCUUUCAAAUGAUCACAUCUUUAAAAAAAAAUCAUUAUACUCAGUUUUGUAAAGCUCCAAUAAGAGAUAUUCAUAUAUAUAAUUUGGUGGAGGGUGGAGGGAGUGAAAGAUAUUUUUGUCUAUUUAUGUGAUGGAAUAAUGUAUGCCCAUUAAAAUUAAAAUUGUGGAAGAAUAUUUACUGUCAUAGAGAAAUACUUGUUAUAUUAAAAAGUGAAAAAGCAAUUACAAAAGAGUAUCUCUAGCAUAUUCUACUAUUUGUUGAAAAUAUAUAGAUGGAUUAUACAUAUUCAUACCACAGUUUGAACAUAGGAGAUUGCAGGUGCUUUUUCAAUUUUGGAAUUGUGGUUUUUGUAUUUUCCAAAUUUGCCACAAUGACUAUAGUAUGGCUUUUAAUUUCAGAUUAAAAGAAAAUAAAACAACA